AUUUGACCUCUAAGCAACUCAAUCUUCUUGCCUACAUUGGUAGGACUUCAGACAACCAAAGAUCCAAGAGAAUUGAGUAGAAUUGAGUGAGAAUCGAAGAGAUUUCAAUUUGACCUCUAAGCAACUCAAUCUUCUUGCCUACAUUGGUAGGACUUCAGACAACCAAAGAUCCAAGAGAAUUGAGUAGAAUUGAGUGAGAAUCGAAGAGAUGAAGUUUUCUGAAAAUUACCU
rnacentral:lncRNA from 1 species